CCUGGCGGCGAGUGGCGAACGGGUGAGUAAUACAUCGGAACGUGCCCAAUCGUGGGGGAUAACGCAGCGAAAGCUGUGCUAAUACCGCAUACGAUCUACGGAUGAAAGCAGGGGACCGCAAGGCCUUGCGCGAAUGGAGCGGCCGAUGGCAGAUUAGGUAGUUGGUGAGGUAAAGGCUCACCAAGCCUUCGAUCUGUAGCUGGUCUGAGAGGACGACCAGCCACACUGGGACUGAGACACGGCCCAGACUCCUACGGGAGGCAGCAGUGGGGAAUUUUGGACAAUGGGCGCAAGCCUGAUCCAGCCAUGCCGCGUGCAGGAUGAAGGCCUUCGGGUUGUAAACUGCUUUUGUACGGAACGAAACGGCCUUUUCUAAUAAAGAGGGCUAAUGACGGUACCGUAAGAAUAAGCACCGGCUAACUACGUGCCAGCAGCCGCGGUAAUACGUAGGGUGCAAGCGUUAAUCGGAAUUACUGGGCGUAAAGCGUGCGCAGGCGGUGAUGUAAGACAGUUGUGAAAUCCCCGGGCUCAACCUGGGAACUGCAUCUGUGACUGCAUCGCUGGAGUACGGCAGAGGGGGAUGGAAUUCCGCGUGUAGCAGUGAAAUGCGUAGAUA
rnacentral:rRNA from 1 species